CAUCCGCCCUAAAACACUGACUCCUCAGUGCCUUGUUAGCAACUGUCGUGGGGAGAGGAAAGCCUGGCUUGAAGGAGGUUGACACAGACAGCUGAAAUGAAGACUGGGAAUUACUGGAGAUCUCCACCAUCGGGCCCCCAUGCCCCAUUAGCAUGGAGUGUGUGGCCUUUGAGCUUGCUGUGACCCAGGAUGUGAGGGGAUUGCCAUUCCCACCCCCUGCCUCAUUCUGUCCUCCAGAUGCACAGGACGGAUGAAAUGGCCUCUCCCCAGAGGAGAAGGCAGCGGCUUGGCCCUGAAAUGAAAAAGAGAAAAAGAAGCUAAUUGUGAGGUGAGAUGAGGGUGAGCAUCGUGGUGGGAAGAACUCUCGAAGCGCAACAACCAGAAGGCAAAUGAUCCAGUUCAAAGUGG
ensembl:sense_intronic Gm12305 predicted gene 12305